ACGGAAGGCAGCAGUGGGGAAUAUUGGGCAAUGGGCGAAAGCCUGACCCAGCAACGCCGCGUGAAGGAAGAAGGUCUUCGGAUUGUAAACUUCUUUUAUGAGGGACGAAGGACGUGACGGUACCUCAUGAAUAAGCCACGGCUAACUACGUGCCAGCAGCCGCGGUAAUACGUAGGUGGCAAGCGUUAUCCGGAUUUACUGGGUGUAAAGGGCGCGUAGGCGGGGAUGCAAGUCAGGUGUGAAAUCUAUGGGCCUAACUCAUAGACUGCACUUGAAACUGUAUCUCUUGAGUGCUGGAGAGGUAGAUGGAAUUCCUUGUGUAGCGGUGAAAUGCGUAGAUAUAAGGAAGAACACCAGUGGCGAAGGCGAUCUACUGGACAGUAACUGACGCUGAGGCGCGAAAGCGUGGGGAGCAAACAGGAUUAGAUACCCUGGUA
rnacentral:rRNA from 1 species